rnacentral:rRNA from 1 species
GACGAACGCUGGCGGCGUGCUUAACACAUGCAAGUCGAACGGAAAGGCCCUGCUUUUGUGGGGUGCUCGAGUGGCGAACGGGUGAGUAACACGUGAGUAACCUGCCCUUGACUUUGGGAUAACUUCAGGAAACUGGGGCUAAUACCGGAUAGGAGCUCCUGCUGCAUGGUGGGGGUUGGAAAGUUUCGGCUGUUGGGGAUGGACUGGCGGCUUAUCAGCUUGUUGGUGGGGUAGUGGCUUACCAAGGCGAUGACCGGUAGCCGGCCGGAGAGGGUGACCGGCCACACUGGAGCUGAGACACGGUCAAGCGUCCUACGGGGGGCAGCAGUGGGGAAUAUUGGACAAUGGGCGCAAGCCUGAUGCAGCCAUACGGCGUGGGUGAAGAAGGCCUUCGGGUUGUAAAGCCCUUUUGGUGGGAAAGAAAAGCAGCAGGUUAAUACCCCGCUGUUCUGACGGUACCCAAAGAAUAAGCACCGGCUAACUUCGUG